GACGAACGCUGGCGGCGUGCUUAACACAUGCAAGUCGAACGGAAAGGCCCUGCUUUGGUGGGGAGCGCGAGGGGCGAACGGGGGAGUAACACGUGAGUAACCUGCCACUGACUUUAGGAUAACUUAAGGCAACUGGGGCUAAUACCGGAUAGGAGCUCCGGCUGCAUGGUGGGGGUGGGAAAGUUUCGGCGGUUGGGGAUGGAAUCGCGGAUCAUGAGCUUGUUGGUGUGGUAGUGGCUUACCAAGGCUAUGAAGCGUAGCCGGCCUGAGAGGGUGACCGGCCACGCUGGGACUGGGAUGCGGCCCAGACUCCUACGGGAGGCAGCAGUGCGGAAUAUUGCACUAUGGGCGGAAGCCUGAUGCAGCAACGCCGCGUGCUGUAUGACGUCCAUCGGGUUGUAUUCCGCUUUCGCCUUUGACGAAGCGUUAGUGACGGUACUGGGUGAAGAAGCACCGGCUAACUACGUG
rnacentral:rRNA from 1 species